UUUGGAAACUUCCAGAUAAAAAUUCCAGUCAACCAACAAGGUUUCUGUGGAGGUCCUCUUCUCAGACAGUGGCCCCAAACUCAGCCAAACCAUCAGGCCAUUAGGACCAGAAAGACCAUGAGGACCAAGCCUAGAAGAUCUGGCAUUGUCAGGGCAGUCACUAAAGAAGAAUAAACAAGCCCCUGUCCUGUCUAGGCCCUGCCCUUGCACCCUCUGCAACCAACCACUUCUCGGAGGAAAACCAUACUGGGUCCUAAAACAUAGCAGGACAAUUUGAAAAGCAACGAGAGGGAUGGCGGAUUAGGCCAGGUGGAAAGGGGGAUGUUUCUGGUGGGAAGUUGGGGUUGACCUCCCUUUGCCAUACUCAGGUGCUCAUUCCACCUGGAGAAUUCCCUUAGCUGCCUGUCCACCUACUCGUGCCCAAACUGGGCCACUCAAAGGUCAGCUUCUCUGGUGUCCCUACUCCAGCUCUCCCAAGCAGUACUAGCCCCCUGAGCCAAACACAGUGCACAUAACUCUAGUCUGAGGCACUUGUUGUGUUGUCCUGUGAUGGUGUCUUAGCACACCCGUCUCUGGUACUACAUGCUGAGCUCCCAUCUCACCUCUGCAUGCCCAGGGCAUGGCACCCAGCUGUGUUCAUUCAGUGUCUACUGAGUGAACAGUCACACUGGUUCUUUUGCUACCAUCAGACCUGGUGGCCAGAAAGGAAAUGAGCAAUAAAAUAUUUUCAUAUUUACAUUACAACCUUUGAGGGUAAAAGAUCCCUCGAGAGGUCUUCACUGUAUUCUCCUCAUGGAGCAAAACUGAUGAAAUGCCCUGGUUCUUCAGUAGAAGUGUGCCCAAACCUAUCUUGUCUACCCUCAGCUAGUUUCACCUGUCCUUUUUGUAAAACCUAUUUAAUGCUUGU
rnacentral:lncRNA from 1 species